rnacentral:siRNA from 1 species
AUAAAAUGUGGAUGAAACAAUGAC